rnacentral:scRNA from 1 species
GUUGAUCCUACAAAAGAAACCUUCGUCAACUG